rnacentral:rRNA from 1 species
UAGGGAAUCUUCCACAAUGGACGCAAGUCUGAUGGAGCAACGCCGCGUGAGUGAAGAAGGUUUUCGGACCGUAAAGCUCUGUUGUUGGUGAAGAAGGAUAGAGGUAGUAACUGGCCUUUAUUUGACGGUAAUCAACCAGAAAGUCACGGCUAACUACGUGCCAGCAGCCGCGGUAAUCGUAGGUGGCAAGCGUUGUCCGGAUUUAUUGGGCGUAAAGCGAGCGCAGGCGGAAGAAUAAGUCUGAUGUGAAAGCCCUCGGCUUAACCGAGGAAUUGCAUCGGAAACUGUUUUCUUGAGUGCAGAAGAGGAGAGUAGAACUCCAUGUGUAGCGGUGGAAUGCGUAGAUAUAUGGAAGAAUACCAGUGGCGAAGGCGGCUCUCUGGUCUGCAACUGACGCUGAGGCUCGAAAGCAUGGGUAGCGAACAGGAUUAGAUACCCUGGUAGUCCAUGCCGUAAACGAUGAGUGCUAAGUG